rnacentral:rRNA from 1 species
GACGAACGCUGGCGGCGUGCUUAACACAUGCAAGUCGAACGCUGAAGGCCUGGCUUUUGUUGGGUUGGAUGAGUGGCGAACGGGUGAGUAACACGUGAGUAACCUGCCCUCUUCUUUGGGAUAACGCCCGGAAACGGGUGCUAAUACUGGAUAUUCACUGAUCUUCGCAUGGGGGUUGGUGGAAAGGUUUGUUCUGGUGGGGGAUGGGCUCGCGGCCUAUCAGCUUGUUGGUGGGGUGAUGGCCUACCAAGGCUUUGACGGGUAGCCGGCCUGAGAGGGUGACCGGUGACAUUGGGACUGAAAUACGGGCCAGACUCCUACGGGAGGCAGCAGUGGGGAAUAUUGCACAAUGGGCGAAAGCCUGAUGCAGCGGCGCCGCGUGAGGGAUGGAGGCCUUCGGGUUGUAAACCUCUUUCGCUCAUGGUCAAGCCGCAACUGUGGGUUGUGGUGAGGGUAGUGGGUAAAGAAGCGCCGGCUAACUACGUG